CCCCUAGAUGUUCUGGGCCGCACGCGCGCUACACUGAACAGUUCAACAAGUCUUAACCUUGGCCGAUAGGUCUGGGUAAUCUUUGAACGCUGUUCGUGAUUGGGAUAGACCUUUGCAAUUAUGGGUCUUCAACGAGGAAUUCCUAGUAAACGCAAGUCAUCAGCUUGCAUUGAUUACGUCCCUGCCCUUUGUACACACCGCCCGUCGCUCCUACCGAUUGAAUGGUCCGGUGAAGCCUCCGGAUUGGCGCGCACCUCGGUGCCGCCGAGAAGUUGGCUAAACCUUACCAUUUAGAGGAAGGUGAAGUCGUAACA
rnacentral:rRNA from 1 species